UACGUAGGGGGCAAGCGUUGUCCGGAUUUAUUGGGCGUAAAGAGCGUGUAGGCGGCUUGGUAGGUCCGCUGUGAAAACUCGAGGCUCAACCUCGAGAUGUCGGCGGAAACCACUUGGCUAGAGUCCGGAAGAGGAGAGUGGAAUUCCCGGUGUAGCGGUGAAAUGCGCAGAUAUCGGGAAGAACACCUAUGGCGAAGGCAGCUCUCUGGGACGGUACUGACGCUGAGACGCGAAAGCUAGGGGAGCGAACAGG
rnacentral:rRNA from 1 species